GUGCUUGCUUCGGCAGCACAUACACCAACACUGAACAAUACAAAGAAGAUGAGCAUGGCCCCCGCUCAGGGAUGGCACAACAUCCAUGAAGCAUUCCGUAUGUAG